UCUAAAAAAUGAAGCCCAGAGUCCUUAUCUUAGCACCAAAGGCCCUCCAUACUUAAGCUUACUUUCUAGUUUACCUCAUUCUGUUCUGGGCAGGAAAGCUGCAACAGUGGCUCUCAACAUUUUUAAAAAUUUUUUUAAUGUUUUUAUUUAUUUUUGAGACAGAGAGAGACAGAGCAUGAGCAGGAGAGGGGCAGAGAGAGAGGGAGACACAGAAUCUGAACGAGGCUCCAGGCUCUAAGCUGUCAGCACAGAUGACGCGGGGCUCGAACUCCUGGAAUGUGAGAUCAUGACCUGAGCCGAAGUCGGGCGCUCAACCGACCAAGCCACCCCAGCUCUCAACAUUUAUGCUCCAUAGGAAGCAGAGAUACUUAUGGAAUGAAAAUAAGGACAAAUAAGACUUUCUCCAAAUAUCCUGGGAUGAAGGACGCUGAAGGAAAAUUCUCGCUUUUGGUACCUAGCCGCCAUACCAUGAGGAAGCCUAAGUCGACUGCACGACGACCCACACUGAUAGGUCCAUAGCCCUGAUGAGCCCUUGGGUGGUGGCAAUCACCAGUUUGCCAUCUUGAAAUCAGGUCCUGCGGAUCCUAGUCAAGCAGCCCUAAAUGAUGCUGUGAGGAAGAACCCACAGAGAAGUAUAGCAAUAAUUUGUGGAUGGGGCUUUAAAGCAGUCGCCUUUUGCAGGACACCUGCUUCUUUAAGAUAGUUGUAAGAAGACUACAGGCUACAUUUUCACCUCUGAAGUCAUGAAAAUAUGGUAGUAAUUAUCCAAGAUUUUUAACCAUAGUGCAAGAUAUCAAGAAGUUUGAAAUAAAGAAGAGAACGAGGUAACUUUUUGAUCUUUGGGUAAUCAGGAAACUACAAGAGUUUCUGAACCAAACUAUAUUAAUCUCUUAAGUUUUCUGCUUUAUUUGAAAAUUAGGCCACUGCUUCUUUGGCUCCCUGACUUCCCAGAGCACCCUCAUCCUGAGUGUUUUCCUCCAGUAAACACUGGGCUCACCUAUUGGUUUAUUUUUAUCAUUUUAAAAAUCAAACUGCAAUCAUGAGUCACGUAUUUGGCAGCCUUCUGUCUUAAAGAAACAGCAUCAGCAUACCUGAAGCCCAGGUGAGCAGAGCUCUGGCCUCAAGACGACAGGGUUGCAGCAGAAGUAGGAACAUAAUGGGCCUUGGAAGGGAAGCCUAUGCAGUGUACGUGGCCAGCACACAUCGCCACACGAAAUGAUGGCAUCUGGAGGCAGGGGCAGCACUAGAUGUGGUUCCCGUUAGUCCUGCGGAGCACUUUCUGAACUAGAAGAUGAUCUACAAAUAUGAGUUGUUGAAUAAACUGGUCUCAGUGAGAUGUUGCAGUAGUUCAGGCAGUGCUUACGUACCCUGGAGCCAACUCUCAUGUAUGCUAAGAUUGCAAUGAAGAUCAAACAGGAAGACAGUCACCAUCAGUGAUGUCAGCUAUAUUAAAGUGAAUAAAAUGGUGGCAUUUGCCAAAAAGCACAGAAGGGCAAUAUGUCAUCCUAAGUCGAUCUAAGUAAAAAGUCAACAAAAUACCUCAAUCCCUCCCCCUACACAUAUGUGAAGCGGAUUGCUGGUCCAGGUCUUGCAGAUGAGGAAAUGAGAUGAAGAAAGUUUACUAGAGACUGUCUCUUCCUGCUGCCUCCUUGCUGCCUGGUCCCUUGGAUAGACCCACUUCCUGUGUGACCACACUCUUCCUGGCCACAAGUAUUGGGCCAAGGUAAAUAAAUGCUUGCUAGGGAGCCCAGGACUCCAGGAGAUUGGUCUGGUAGGAAAGCAUGAGCUAUUGCAAUCUGAUCUUUCCUCUCUGGACAUGGAAUAAAAAAAAAAAAAAAAAAAAUCCAGCUGUGGGGCACCUGGAUGGCUCAGUCAGUCAAGCCUCUGACUUCGGCUCAGGUCAUGAUCUCACUGCUCCUGAGUUGGAGCCCUGCGUGGGGCUCCAGGUGGAGCCUGGAGCCUGCUUCAGGAGACUGUGUCUCCCUCUCUCUCUGCCCCUCCCCCCAUUCGCUCUCUCUCUCUCAAAAAUAAAUGAACAUUAGAAGUUUUUUAAAAAGUCCAGCAGUAGGUUGCUAACUUAAGGAUCUGUAGGCCUAAUGAGGAGGCUGCCAUUUAUGGUCAUGCUUAAGAUGGGUAAGCAGAGGAAUCUCAACAACACUAAGGAAAAUGACAGAAGCAUUCCAAGAAGCACAGAUACGGUGAGAGAAAUGGAAGUUUGAAAGGGAUUGGUCCCAAAGUUACUUUGAAUUCUAUCCAUCCUUUGGCUGGCAUGUUUUUUGUUUGUUUGUUUGUUUGUUUGUUUUUGUUUUUGUUUUGUGGUUCCUGUGAUACUUCACUGAAUUAAAAAUAAAUUCUCUUUCUUACUUAAGAGGGUUUGAGUGAGUUUUGAUUUAUAAAAGCCUGAAAUGAAAGAGUUUAUUGGUGGAGAUUGUAUAGCUAAUAAUUGGAGGUAAAAACCCAUGAUCAUUAGAUUCUCUCCCAGUUGUAAGCUCCAUCUUUUUGCCCAAUAACCUUUUCAGCACGUUUUAAGAUCCUCCUAAAAGGCUCAAAGAAUGGGUCAGACUUUGUGGGUUCUAAGAACCAUGGCAUUCCAUUAAAGAAGAGAGCUUGGGGCAACCUUCAAAUUAAGCCAUGUAUGCAGUCACCUAUUUUGUUAAUGAACGUUGCCGUUUCAUUGGUUUUAAGGUAAGUAUAAUUUAGAUCAAUGCCUUGAAGAAACAUUAUAAAUUGUUACUUGGAGAGUUUUACAUUCUCUUCAAAGAGCAGCCCUUGUCUUCAUUGUAACAACCUUUGCUUUUUGUAGAGACUAUGCCUGCAGUAACUAUUUAUGUAUAACAUGGUAGGGUCCUGUACCACUUUUGCUGUAAUGUAAUCCGGUUCAUGUUUAUUCUAUUUUACAAUUAACUUGAGGAAACAAGAAACAGUUUAACCAUUAGAAUGCAUUAAAUCCAUAAGAAAAUUUUCAUCUUCGAGGAAUUUAUUCUGAAGUGUAUUUCUUUAAAUCCAUGACAUAUUUGAAUCAAAGAUUUGAGGAGACCAAAGUCAUUGUCAGUUGUCACCAGGGAAUGCAUUUAGAAAUAUUUUUCAAUUUGGUGAUAACAAAAGAAAUUUGACAUACAUUUAAAAACUGUCAAUUUAUCACUUUGUGGUUAUUACCAAGGAUAAAAUACAUUGUAUUUUUAAAUGGCAGAGUGUGUUAUAAAAUCAAUUUUGCCCUCGUCUUUUGGGCAUUGCAAAUACAAAGACCAUAUUAGAGUAAGGGAUUUAUAUAAUCUCUCUAAAGAAUUCUGGGAUAAAGCAGAUACAUGAAUUUGUGUGACAUAUACAUCAGGUGUCUGUCUGUGGGUUUGUGGAUGAAUGGUAGAAACAUUCUGCUGUCUUUAAUCACCUCUCAUGCCUUUCCAUCCAUCACUUUGAAGACGGUAUGGAUGAUGACUGUGACCUGGUGUGUGAGAAUGGCUACAUUCUCCAGUGUUCACACAGCAAGCUUCCUCUUGGAUGCUUAAAAACAUUGAAUUAAAAUUCAACAUAUGAAGUGUAAUUUUACUUGAAUUUAAAAAAAGAAAACGAAACUGAAGUGAAAGUUAAGAGUUUUCUCUACUUCAGAUGAAUGGCUUUCUCCUUUUGCUAACAAGUGCUAUUGUGUCAUCAGAGAUUCUUCUGGCUCUGGUUCAAGAUAGAGGACUAAACAUUUCUUUAUGCAUGUUUCUCACUACAUUCCGCAAAGAUGCUAGUUAAAACAAAAGGAAAUAGAGUCAUCAUAGGCAGAGAAGAAAGUGAUGUAGGUUGGGGAAACAGUCCAGUCAAUUCCGUAGAGAAUUUCUAGAAGAUUGAAAAUAGUUGGGUUAUGCUGAGGAAUACGUUAGAAUGGGGGGCACUUCAUGUCAAAUACGUGACGGAGUCUGAGGUAGAGAAUUCUCCCUUGUGAGAAAGAAUGGUUCCUCACUCAGACAGUUGGAGACAGCACAUAGACAAAAAAAAAGGGGGGGGGGGUAAAGGAGGGACCCAUUGAAAUGGCUCCUUGGAGGGAUAUCUUCUGAACAGAUGUGUUGGUCUGGCCUCCUCUACAUUUCCUUCCUGUUUGUUCUCUCCCAUCAUCAACAUACACACAGAGUUCCUAGCCUCAUCUAUUUACCCUGAGGCUAAACUCAGAGAAUGGCACUUUAGAGAAGGUAAUUGCUCUGUUGAGGUGUGGGAUUGGUGUAAGCAAACAGGAUAUAGCCCUUAUCAGUUCAGCCGGGGGGGGGGGGGUGACUGUGCAGGUAGGUGGAGGGCUUGGUGAAAGCUUGUUUGCAGCUAGCCUUCCCGUUGAAGGAAAUAGACUUGAAAAGAAAAGAAAAAAGAAAGGAAAGGAAAGGGAAGAAAGAGAAGAGAAAAAAGAAAAACAAAAAAGAAAAAAGAGGCCUUUGUACAUACAGAGAUGUGGUAUCCUAGCUUUCUUCAUUCAUAAAUAUAAAUGGACAUUUCAGGACUGCCAGAUAUUUGAACACAAACAGCACAAAGGAGAAGCAGUAAAAACAAAGUGGCCAAAAGAGAAACAGACAAAUGUUAGAUAAAGGAUAAUUUUAAAAAUCAUUUAUUCUAUCCAUUCAACACAUUAGUUAAAUAUCCAAUGCCUUCUAGGUGCUAUUGUAGGCCCCGAGACACAGCAAUGAAGAAAACAAAAAUCUCUGCCUCAUGGAGCUUAUAUUCGGGCAGGAGAGACAGAUAAUACAUAAAUAAUAAACAUAAGAAAUAUGUAAUUUAGGUAAGAUGAUAAAGAUAAAAAUAGAACACAAAAGGCGAUAUAAAAAAGACAAAAGUACUGGGUGGGGCAACAUAAACUAUAGUUUUAAAUAGAGUAUUUAAUGGGUGCCUGGAUGGCUCUGACCCCUGGUUUUGGCUCAGGUCAUGAUCUCAUUGUUCGUGAGUUUGAGCCCAGUGUUGGGCUCUGUACAGGUGGCAGCACAGAGCCUGCUUAGGGUCCUCUCUCUCUCUCUCUCUCUCUCUCUCUCCCUCUCUCACUCCGUCUCUCUGCCCCCUCCCUGGCUUGCACACCCGUGCACUCUCUGUCUCACAAAAAUAAAUCAAUAAACGUUAAAAAAAAAAUUAAAUAGUGUAGUAAGAGCAGGUUUAUUGAGAAGAUGACAACUGAGCAAAGAAUUGAAGUCAGGGAGUCAGCCAAGAUGAAAGAACUUUCUGGGAAGAUGAAACAGCCAGAGCACAGACCUUAACACAGGAGCACAUCUAGUAUCUUUCGGAUAAACAAGACGUAUCACUUCUGCUGGCAUAGGGCUGAGGCAGAGAAAGACUAGAGCAGGAGUAACCCAGGUCACAUCUUGUAAGGCUUUGCAGGCCAUUGUAAGAGCUUCGGCUUUUAUGCUGAGUGAGCUGGGAAGAAGCCCUUGAAGGUGAAGGAACAGAGGAGUAACAUGACAUGACUUUGAAUUUAAAAGGAUCCUUCUGGCUGCUGUGGGGAGGGGCGGGAUAAAUGCAGAAGCUGGAGACCAGACCAUGCAGAGGCUAUUGGUGAAAUCCAGGCAAGACAUGACGAGGAAUUGGACUAGGGUGUUAGCAGUGGGGAUGGUGAGAAGUGAUCGUAACUUAGAGUAUAUUUUGGAAGUGGAGAAGGCAGAGGAAAAUUAUACCCUUCUUAACAGGCAACAAUGGCCCGAUGGAGGAAGUCCAAGCUCAGUAACCAGGUGAUAGAGCUAAUAGAACAGUGAAAACACCUUACCAGGGCACCUGGGUGGUUCAGUCGGCUAAGUGUCCGACUUUAGCUCAGGUCGUGUUCUUGGUGAGUUCAGGCCUCGCCUGGGCUUCUGUGCUGACACCUCAGAGCCUGGAGCUCCCCUCAGAUUCUGUGACUCCCCUCCCCCCCUCACUCUAUCUCUCUCUCAAAAAUAAAUAAACAUUAAAAAAUUUUUUUUAAAUGUUAAAAAAACUUUACCAAAAUAAUAAUAAUAAUAAUAAUAAUAAUAAUGAGAACACUCAAAGAGAUACAGUAAGAUCAUAGAAGACUUUCUGGGUAUAACCCCAAUCUCAUCAUUUCCAAAAUUAUGAACUUCCUAGAUCAACUGAAAAAGAGACCACCCAUUACCCAGAGUUCUGGAAUACAAAUGAAAGAAAUAUCUCACUAUGUAGAC